AUGUGGCAUCAAGAGAGAAGCAAGUAUAACACAAACAAAUCAAGACCAACAUUUGGACUUUGUUGUAAGGAAGGCAAAGUCAAACUGCCACCCUUGAAAAAUGCGGCAUCCCUUCAACUGCUACUAACAUCUGAUGAAAAGGGAGAACCAUCAAAUUACAGAGACAAUAUCAGGAAUUAUAAAUCAAUGUUUGCAUUUAGUUCGAUGGGUGGCCAGGUCGACUACAAGAUAAACAAAAAAGGGGGUGCACCGUAUGUUUUUGGCUUGGAUGGCCAAAACUAUCAUCAAAUUGGCACGUUGCUACCUAAAGAUAAUGGAGAUAAUGCUCUCAGGCCAAAGUUUGCUCAAUUGUACAUUUAUGAUACAGAAAAUGAGGUCAGGAACAGAAUGCAGGCUUCAACCUCAAAGGAAAGGAAAAAACAACUUGAUGAAGGCAUUGUUUCUGGAUUAUUGCAGAUGCUUGAUGAUCAUAAUGAGUUAGUGAAAAAUCAUUCCGUAUGGCAAGGGAUAGAUACCAAGAAUCGGAUCUCGAAAAUGUUAGGUUGUGAUUAA
rnacentral:rRNA from 1 species